rnacentral:rRNA from 1 species
AUUGCCCUAGUAACGGCGAGUGAAGCGGCAACAGCUCAAAUUUGAAAUCUGGCCCCCUCGGGGUCCGAGUUGUAAUUUGCAGAGGGUGCUUUGGUGUUGGCUGUGGUCCAAGUUCCCUGGAACAGGACGUCGCAGAGGGUGAGAACCCCGUACGUGGCCGCCAGCCUUCGCCGUGUAAAGCCCCUUCGAAGAGUCGAGUUGUUUGGGAAUGCAGCUCUAAAUGGGAGGUAAAUUCCUUCUAAAGCUAAAUAUUGGCCAGAGACCGAUAGCGCACAAGUAGAGUGAUCGAAAGAUGAAAAGCACUUUGGAAAGAGAGUGAAACAGCACGUGAAAUUGUUGAAAGGGAAGCGCUUGGAGCCAGACGUGCCCGUAGUUGCUCAGCCGGGGUUUUCCCCGGUGCACUCUUCUGCGGGCAGGCCAGCAUCAGUUUGGGCGGUCGGACAAAAGCCUGCUAAACGUACCUCCCCCCGGGGAGGACUUAUAGGGUAGGUGGCAUACGACCAGCCCGGACUGAGGACCGCGCAUCUGCUAGGAUGCUGGCGUAAUGGCUGUAAGCGGCCCGUCUUGAAACACGGACCAAGGAGUCUAAAAUCUAUGCGAGUGUUUGGGUGUCAAGCCCGAGCGCGCAAUGAAAGUGAACGCAGGUGGGAACCCCUCGGGGUGCACCAUCGACCGAUCCUGAUGUUUUCGGAAGGAUUUGAGUAUGAGCAUAGCUUUUGGGACCCGAAAGAUGGUGAACUAUGCCUGAAUAGGGUGAAGCCAGAGGAAACUCUGGUGGAGGCUCGCAGCGGUUCUGACGUGCAAAUCGAUCGUCAAAUUUGGGCAUAGGGGCGAAAGACUAAUCGAACUAUCUAGUAGCUGGUUCCUGCCGAAGU